UCUCCACAUACAACACCCAGGAAUGACUUAGCACCAAAACACCAAUAAGACUCCUCAGAGGAAAGGAGGGUAGAGUCAAGGGACUAAACUUCAGAAAACACUGAAGACGAGCUGUCCACACCCACCUCCCUCUCACUUCCAGCAUCCCCACCAACACCACCCCCUCGAUGGUGAGAGGAAGAAGUUUGGACUGGGAAGAACAAGGACGAAGUGACGGUCCCCAGAUGGGCUGGGCACGGGACAAGAAGGGAAUGGCUGCAGGACAAGGCAAGAGAGAUCUUAAAUGAUAAUGAUGAGCCAGGAUAAGACAUGGAAAAGGAUGGAAUAUGCAAGGAUCAUCGAAAUGUAAAAGCCAGGACCGGAGAGGGAAGCCGAGAGUCAGGAGACCAGGAGUGCCCGGCCAUGGGAGAUCAGAGACCCGCAGCUCCAGACAAGCCGGGAGACAGGAGCCCCGCCCCGGCCGCCCCGCCCCGGAAGUAGAGCCUGGCCGCCGACGAGGCCCGCCCGCCGACCCGGAACGUAAACCGCGGCGCAGAUGCAGGUCGCCGGACCUGGUGUGGAGAGCGGUGCUGAGGCUACGCGGGCUGGGGACUCCGGGUAAACCCGAGACCCCGCGAGGAGGCGUCGCUGUCCCCAAGUGCCCAAGACGCCUCCCCUGCCUUCCUGAGGUUCCCACUCCUGUCGGGGCGACAGAGAAGAAAGCCACGAGUGAUGGGGCGACUUCGUCCCAGAGAGGGAUGCGAGCGGGAAAGGAAAUAAAACUAGAGUAACGGGACAAAGCGUGGGCACAGGCGGAUGGGCAAUCCCGGAGGGCCUCUCUAAGGAGGCGACUUUUGAGCCCAGACCUGGAUGAUGAGAGGAAACCAGUCCGGGAAGAUCCCCAGGGAAAGUGUUCCAUAAGGAGGGGCAAUUGCAAGGCCCCUGCCUGGAGGGGUUGACAGGAGCGAGGGGGUGAGUGAGAAAAUAGGCCUGGUGCGGUGGCUCACGCCUGUAAUCCCAACACUUUGGGAGGCCGAGGCGAGCGGAUCACCUGAGGUCAGGAGUUCGAGAGGGUGAGUGAGAAAAGGAGAUUGAAGAGGUGGAGGGAGGGCCUUGCAGGCCAGAGGAAGGAGUUUGGGCUUUUCUGCCUAAUUCUAGGAAGGUCCCAGCACUUGGGAGGGCGGAGGCGGACGGAUCGCUUGAGGCCAACAGUUCAAGAGCAGCCUGGGCAACAUAGCGAGACGCC